GACGAACGCUGGCGGCGUGCUUAACACAUGCAAGUCGAACGGAAAGGCCCUGCUUGCAGGGUACUCGAGUGGCGAACGGGUGAGUAACACGUGGGUGAUCUGCCCUGCACUUCGGGAUAAGCCUGGGAAACUGGGUCUAAUACCGGAUAGGAGCCAUUUUUAGUGUGAUGGUUGGAAAGUUUUUUCGGUGUAGGAUGAGCUCGCGGCCUAUCAGCUUGUUGGUGGGGUAAUGGCCUACCAAGGCGGCGACGGGUAGCCGGCCCGAGAGGGUGGACGGCAACAGUGGGACUGGGAUUGGGACAAGACCCCGACGGGUGGCAGAAGCAGGGAUGAUUGCACUAUGGGAGUAAGCCUGAUGCAGAGCCGCCGCUUGGGGGAUGACGGCCUUCGGGUUGUAAUUUCCUUUCUCUAGGGACGAAGAUUUUUGUGACGGUACCUAGAUAAGAAGCACCGGCUAACUACGUG
rnacentral:rRNA from 1 species